GCGCGGAAGUUUGAACCUUUGUUCGUCGCGUUCGAUGUACUUCUAGCAGUUGAAACGAGGAAACCUUUCAUGGCUCUUAGCGCAACUAAUUUACGUUCUGCUCAACGUGUUCGGAAUAGAACGGGUGAACUCCACAGCAAGGGACAAGCAUGCCUGAAGUUCUGCGUGAUGCUUCUGAUGUUGCAAUGUUUCGGUCCUUCUACUCACUGCUUCGACCAGGUGUGCUACCUUCCAGCUCCGACAUCACCUGAGGCACUGCCCCUGGCUAUGGUCAAUGUGAGUCUUUGUAGCCACAUCAUC
rnacentral:lncRNA from 1 species